rnacentral:rRNA from 1 species
AUUGAACGCUGGCGGCAGGCUUAACACAUGCAAGUCGAGCGGAAACGAUGUAGCUUGCUACAGGCGUCGAGCGGCGGACGGGUGAGUAACGCGUAGGAAUCUGCCUAGUAGUGGGGGACAACAUGUGGAAACGCAUGCUAAUACCGCAUACGCCCUACGGGGGAAAGGAGGGGAUCUUCGGACCUUUCGCUAUUAGAUGAGCCUGCGUAAGAUUAGCUAGUUGGUAGGGUAAAGGCCUACCAAGGCGACGAUCUUUAACUGGUCUGAGAGGAUGGCCAGUCACACUGGGACUGAGACACGGCCCAGACUCCUACGGGAGGCAGCAGUGGGGAAUAUUGGACAAUGGGCGCAAGCCUGAUCCAGCCAUGCCGCGUGUGAAGAAGGCCUUAGGGUUGUAAAGCACUUUCAGGGGUGAGGAAGGGUGUUUGGUUAAUAUCCAAACAUUUUGACGUUAGCCCCAGAAGAAGCACCGGCUAACUCUGUG